UGCGUCUAAUACAUGCAAGUCGAGCGCAACUUCGGUUGAGCGGCGGACGGCUGAGUAACACGUUGGUAGCUACCCCUCACUCAGGGAUAAGCAUGAGAAAUCAUGUCUAAUACCGGAUGGUCCCGAAAGGGUAAAGAUUUUUCGGUGAGGGAGGUGCCUGCGGUCUAUCACGCUUGUUGGUAAGGUAAUGGCUUACCAAGGCUAUGACGGAUAACUGGUCUGAGAGGAUGAUCAGUCAGAGGGAAACUGAGACACGGUUCCCACUCC
rnacentral:rRNA from 1 species